rnacentral:tRNA from 1 species
GCCCGGAUACCUUAGCCGGGUAGAGGACUCGUUUUACAAACGAGCGCGGCAUUGCCGCAACGAGGGUUCAAAUCUGCAACGAACGCAGUUCGUUGAGCUUUCCGCAUAGCGGAAAUCCCUCUCCGGGCGCCA